CCCUGCUGCUGGCAUCGAAUGCUUUGUGCCCGCUGCAUUCCCGGGGGGCCAGCCUGUCCCUCUGUGUCCGCAGUCCAGGGUGGCUGCUCUCGGGUCCCAGAUGCAAGCGGGGCUGGAGGAGAGGAUCCACAGCUUGGAUGCCUAUGUGAGACGGUUCCAGCGCCUGGUGGGUAGAGUGCACUUGGGGUGUCACUGGAGAAGGGAGGGAGUGUGGGGCUGGGGGGGUCACUGCUCUGCUCUGUCUGGGGCCCCCUCUGAGGGCACGAGGGGUGCAGAUGGCCCCAGAUCCUCAUGCUGAUCCGGCCUCUGUUCUCUCUGCCCAGGUGCAGCCAGCGGGCGCCCUGGAUGGCAUGGCCGGCCUGCUUCUGCGGCUGUGCCAGGCGGGGCUGGGGGCCGUGCAGGAUGGUGGCAGGGCGGUGGCCGCGCUGUGGGGCCUGAGCCCCACUGGGCGGGUGCUCACCCUCCACGUGCCGCUCUCCCUGGAGAGGCUGCGGGCAGGUCUGGAGCAGCUGCGGAAGGAGCUAGAACUCAGAAUCCCAGGGCCACCCUGGCAUCGAUGACUCACUAGGACUCAACUCUCAGCUUGGAGUUGCACCUGCAGCCAUAGGGCCAAGAUACAGAGCCAGGCCGUGGAGGGACAGGUAUAGAGGAGGCUCCAGGGAGACCCCCCCAACCAAGGAGUUCCCAGACUCAUCCUCCAGUGGGAGCGCGUAGGAUGCCCUCACCACCCCCCGCUUCAGAUUGUGACAACACCUGUCAGACAUCAACUGCCCAAGGGAGCUCACUAGAGGCUCCGCACCCAGGCUUUUCAUUGCGGGGUGGUCAGGUGGGAGCCCCUGCCUGGCACAGACCGACAUCCCAGACUCACAGAAGGAAAGGGGGUGUUCAGCAUGUUGUCUGUUGCACCCCAGGCCCAGGAGGGCCCUCUCACUAGGUCUGGGAAUGGUAGGACUCCCCCAGAAUCCAGCCAGGGGCUGCCCUGGCAAACAGGCCUUGCAGACGGGCAGCCUCGGGCCUACCGGGUUGACGUCCACAGUCUCUAGUGCCGCCACCUCAUUCCAGGUCGCAGGCUCUAUUUCCUUCCUGGGGGCCCGGCUUGUCUGGGAG
rnacentral:lncRNA from 1 species